rnacentral:rRNA from 1 species
UACGUAGGGUGCAAGCGUUGUCCGGAAUUAUUGGGCGUAAAGGGCUCGUAGGCGGUCCAUCGCGUCGGGUGUGAAAAGCUGGGGCUUAACCCCAGUCCUGCUUCCGAUACGGGUGGACUAGAGGUAGGCAGGGGAGAACGGAAUUCCUGGUGUAGCGGUGAAAUGCGCAGAUAUCAGGAGGAACACCGGUGGCGAAGGCGGUUCUCUGGGCCUUACCUGACGCUGAGGAGCGAAAGCAUGGGGAGCAAACAGG